ACUUGAAGACACUUUUUGAAAUUGAUGUGGAGAACUCAAAGGUUUGCAAAGUUAUUGAUAGCUAUUUGACGAAGGCAUGGAGAGGUUACAAAAGUAAGUUGCAUGAAGACUUCAAACAGAUUGGAGGAUUGGAAGAUCCGACUAAGGCAAAGACUACACCUCCUUCUAAUGUUAGCAAAGAAGACUGGGAAUAUCUUUGUGAUAUGUGGUCCGAGACAAAAUACAAGGAAAAUGCAGAAAAGAAAGUUAAGGCACGUGCACAAUGAAAAAUAAAUAGCAAAAAUGGCUCGAAAAGUACAAUACGCUAUCAUAUUGAGCGUGGACUAGAUUCGGAAUCUUCAACCGGGCAAAUUGAGACAUGGCGACUAACUCAUUGGGACGCAAAAAAAGGUUGGAUUUCUACUGAUGCGGCUGCAAAAUAUGAAAAAAUGAUGAAGCUGAGAAAUGAGCAUCCUGUGAAAUCAAUGAGCGAUAAGUUGA